ensembl:lncRNA
AUGGAUCCAUAUAUUACUGCUAUUUUAAUUUAUACAAUAGGAAAUUUAACACCUCAUUCUUUUAUGCAAAAUUGUUUAACAACUAAACGAUAUAAUAUAUGUUCUUUAUACAUUGUUAAUAUACAAAAUUAUAUAGGAGUAUAUGACAUUCGUAAAUUUUAUUGUAUGUAUUUGUUAUAUAUGACUUUAAGACAUAACAUAACAUAUACAGAAGAAAUUUUAAACUAUACAGCUCUUUUAUUUUACACAUUAUAUGAAAAAAAACAAGCUAAUAAUAAUCAUCAUAUUUAUCACUUAAAUUAUUUUGGAUUAAAAAACAUAAAAAACGUAAUAAAUUUAUUAAAACAAUAUCCUAAACAUUCUCAAAAUUUUAUGUUUUUUCUUUUGUGUGCUUAUAAUUUACAUAAGAACACCCCUAAACAAUUAAACGAUAUACAACAUUUAAGUUGCUUAUUUGACACGACACACAUUGUUAGUACUAUCGAUCGUAGUAACAACAACAACAGUAGUAAUAGUAGCAAUAAUAGCAAUAGUAGCAAUAGUAGCAAUAGAACCACUACCACCACUAGUAAUAAUAAUAAAAGAACCAACAAGAGUAAAACAGCAAAACAAAAUAACAUGCUACAUAUUAAUAGUUUCGCUUUUAAAAAUUUAAAAAUGAAUAAAAUUGUAUAUGAAUUUUUUUAUAACGAAAAUAUAAUAAACUUUGUAAAAAGUAAUAUUAACGCAUUUGAAAAGUUACAUUCGUGUAAUAAUAACGUAUUUGAUCAGGUUAACGAACUUUGUAACUUCAAACAAGAAAAGAAACAACAAAUUGAAUCCAAACUAACUGAUAAAAACGAAGAGGAUGAAGGAAAAAUAAACUAUAGUGAUAUUUUAAAUAUUUAUAUUAGGUUUAUUAUUAUAAUUCAAAAUAUAGUUUGUUAUUACAUAAAUAAUAUGCUUUGGUUUGAAUUAUAUGAUUUUAUCACUUCUUUAAAAAUAGAUAUUGCAUCUUUUUUUACAUGUACUCAUUUUUUACAAUCCAAUUAUUUUCAAAAUGUUUUUUGGGGUAUAUGUCCUAUAGAUAUAUCACAGUCGUCACAAUCAUCACAGUCGUCACAAUCAUCACAGUCGUCACAAUCAUCACAGUCGUCACAAUCAUCACAAUCGUCACAGUCGUUACAGUCGUCACAGCUUUACAUAAAAAACUCUGAAUAUGAUUUUACGACAAUUAAUGAAAAGACUAAAAAUAUUGGUACAUCCUGUGAAGGAAUCGUAUGCGAAAAAAAAUGCAACACGUUACAAUCUGAGGAUAGUACAAAAGUAAAACAAAAUGAUACAUACGUUGAAAAAAAUAAGCAUAACAAUAAGGUUAAGUUAGAUAAUGUGAAUGCAUUGGAAAGGGGUACGCCAGAAUAUUUGUCAAAAGAAUUAAAACAAUUUGACCAGGACUACAUCGAAUAUACGAACUACAUAAAAAAGAUGCAAACCGUUUUUGAAAUAACAAAAAGAGAACAUGAAAUUAUUAAUAAAAACUUUUUUCCAAAUAUUAUAAAAAAACCUAUUUUUUUUAUUGAUAUCUAUAAAUCGUUUAAAACCUAUUUAGAAGUAGACUGUUUAAAAAUAAAACAACAGCAGAAUCAAUAUAAUGGUCAGAAAAAUAAUGAUAAUUUAAAAAAAGAAAUAUAA